AGUGAACGCUGGCGGUAGGCCUAACACAUGCAAGACGAACGGCAGCACAGUAAGAGCUUGCUCUUACGGGUGGCGAGUGGCGGACGGGUGAGGAAUACAUCGGAAUCUACUUUUUCGUGGGGGAUAACGUAGGGAAACUUACGCUAAUACCGCAUACGACCUACGGGUGAAAGCAGGGGAUCUUCGGACCUUGCGCGAUUGAAUGAGCCGAUGUCGGAUUAGCUAGUUGGCGGGGUAAAGGCCCACAAAGGCGACGAUCCGUAGCUGGUCUGAGAGGAUGAUCAGCCACACUGGAACUGAGACACGGUCCAGACUCCUACGGGAGGCGGCAGUGGGGAAUAUUGGACAAUGGGCGCAAGCCUGAUCCAGCCAUACCGCGUGGGUGAAGAAGGCCUUCGGGUUGUAAAGCCCUUUUGUUGGGAAAGAAAAACAGCAGGUUAAUACCCCGCUGUUCUGACGGUACCCAAAGAAUAAGCACCGGCUAACUUCGUG
rnacentral:rRNA from 1 species